rnacentral:rRNA from 1 species
GGACUGAGACACGGCCCAGACUCCUACGGGAGGCAGCAGUAGGGAAUUUUCGGCAAUGGGGGAAACCCUGACCGAGCAACGCCGCGUGAGUGAAGAAGGCCUUCGGGUUGUAAAGCUCUGUUGUAAGGGAAGAACAAGUGUGAGAGGGAAUGCUCAUGCUAUGACGGUACCUUACCAGAAAGCCACGGCUAACUACGUGCCAGCAGCCGCGGUAAUACGUAGGUGGCAAGCGUUAUCCGGAAUUAUUGGGCGUAAAGGGAGCGCAGGCGGUUUAUUAAGUUUAUGGUGAAAGUUCGGGGCUCAACCCCGUGAUGCCAUAGAAACUGGUAGACUUGAGUGCAGGAGAGGUUAGUGGAAUUCCAUGUGUAGCGGUAAAAUGCGUAGAUAUAUGGAGGAACACCAGUGGCGAAGGCGGCUAACUGGCCUGUAACUGACGCUGAGGCUCGAAAGCGUGGGGAGCAAAUAGGAUUAGAUACCCUAGUAGUCCACGCCGUAAACGAUGGAUACUAAGUGUUGGAGAAAUUCAGUGCUGUAGUUAACGCAAUAAGUAUCCCGCCUGGGGAGUAUGCGCGCAAGCGUAAAACUCAAAGGAAUUGACGGGGGCCCGCACAAGCGGUGGAGUAUGUGGUUUAAUUCGAAGCAACGCGAAGAACCUUACCAGGUCUUGACAUACCACGCAAAAGCAUAGAGAUAUGUAAUAGUUAUGGUGGAUACAGGUGGUGCAUGGUUGUCGUCAGCUCGUGUCGUGAGAUGUUGGGUUAAGUCCCGCAACGAGCGCAACCCUUGUCUUCAGUUACCAGCAUUAAGUUGGGGACUCUGGAGAGACUGCCGGUGAUAAACCGGAGGAAGGUGGGGAUGACGUCAAAUCAUCAUGCCCCUUAUGAUCUGGGCUACACACGUACUACAAUGGCGUAUACAGAGGGCAGCGAAGCAGUGAUGCGGAGCGAAUCUCAGAAAGUACGUCUCAGUUCGGAUUGGAGUCUGCAACUCGACUCCAUGAAGUCGGAAUCGCUAGUAAUCGCGAAUCAGAAUGUCGCGGUGAAUACGUUCUCGGGCCUUGUACACACCGCCCGUCAAACCAUGAGAGUUGGUAAUACCCGAAGCCGGUGGCCUAACCCGAAAGGGAGGGAGCCGUCGAAGGUAGGACCGAUGAUUGGGGUUAAGUCGUAACAAGGUAUCCCUACCGGAAGGUGGGGAUG